UAGUGAGUUUGAUCUGGCUCAGGAUGAACGCUGGCGGUCUGCUUAACACAUAGCAAGUCGAACGCAAGUAGAAAUACUUGAGUGGCGGACGGGUGAGUAACGCGUGAGAAUCUGCCUUCUGGUCGGGGACAACCACUGGAAACGGUGGCUAAUACCGGAUAUGCCUAUGGGGUAGAAAGAUUAACUUGCCAGAAGAAGAGCUCGCGUCUGAUUAGCUAGUUGGAGAGGU
rnacentral:rRNA from 1 species